rnacentral:lncRNA from 1 species
GGUAUUUUUUGGUAGGCAAUAAUCUUCACUUAAUAGUCUGGCUGGUGAGGGAAGCUGUUUAGCAUCUUUCCACCUCUAGGCUUCCUGCCAGUGUGACAGAAACCUACCAGGGGCAGUGAGAGAUACAGUUCCACUCUGAUGCCUCUGAAAAGAAUUAGAGAACAAAAACAGGGGAUGCUUCGAGAGUCAGGCAGCUGAUGGCCUUCUUGGUUUAUUGGAAACUUGGACCAAAAUGUUCAGAUGCUUAAUGGGCAUGAAAAGAUAUUCCCAUGAAAGUUCUCUGGAGAAUUCUGCCUCAGAAGAUCCAUCUAGAGAUGUGGUUUUUCCCCCCUCUUAUUUCUUUGGUUUUGAAAGAGAGUACUUCAGCUUUUGUGACAGACUCUCUGUCUUUUUCAGAUCUACAAGCGAUUGUGCUGGCGAGGAGGACAAGGGGAGGAGAACUUUCCUGCUAGGGAGCCUUAAAUGGAAUUUGGUCUAUACAGCCUUCCAUCAAAUUGCAGGUUAAAUAUGUUCAAGUUUCUUUAACCUUCAGGAGAUCUGUCUUACAGAGCUGGCUUGCAGUUUCCAAUAGGUCAAAGCUUUAAGAAUUUAAGGACUGGAAACUAUGCUGAAAGAAUCAGUACUGAAGCCCCCAUCUAUCUAGGUGCUGUGGUGGAAUAUUUAGCAAUAGUCACCGAAGC